rnacentral:tRNA from 1 species
UCUUCCUUGGUCUAGUGGUCAUGAUUUCCGCUUGUCAUCCCGAAAGGAACAAGCGCGGGAGACCGGGGUUCGAUUCCCCGAGGGAGAG